UUUCAGUUAGCCUUGUGGAUAAGGCUUUGGAUCGCCAAUCCAGAGACGACGGGUUCGAUUCCGGUCAGGAAAA
rnacentral:tRNA from 1 species